UAUAUGUAGACAAAGAUUCUUCUUGAUACAGUUGGUAUCAAACGUGGGAAAUGCAUUUAAAAUAUGACCUAGAAAUCGUGCUCAAGGAUUCAUACCUCAUAUCAUUUCAACGAAAGUAGGUGUUAAAAUCUGAACCACAAGGCAGAGCUGUCUGGAGAGAUAAUUGUGAUGGUCAACAUGGAUUAUCAGCUUAACCAAACUUUGGAUACACCUAUGUUGAAGUAUCAAGAUUAGACUAAGGAAAUAAUGCAAGACUCAUGUUCACACCAAAACAGUGAAC
rnacentral:lncRNA from 1 species